CUUGUACACACCGCCCGUCACACCAUGGGAGCGGGUUCUGCCAGAAGUAGUUAGCCUAACCGCAAGGAGGGCGAUUACCACGGCAGGGUUCGGUGACGUGGGGUG
rnacentral:rRNA from 1 species